rnacentral:rRNA from 1 species
UAGUCCACGCCCUAAACGAUGCUUACUCGAUGUUUGGAUUUAAUCUGAGCGUCCAAGGGAAACCGUUAAGUAAGCCACCUGGGGAGUACGCUCGCAAGAGUGAAACUCAAAGGAAUAGACGGGGACCCGCACAAGUGGUGGAGCAUGUGGUUUAAUUCGAAGAUACGCGAAGAACCUUACCUAGCCUUGACAUAUUUAAGAACACUUUAGAGAUAGAGUGGUGCCUUCGGGAGCUUUUAUACAGGUGCUGCACGGCUGUCGUCAGCUCGUGUCGUGAGAUGUUGGGUUAAGUCCCGCAACGAGCGCAACCCUCGUCACUAGUUACUAACGGUUCGGCCGAGGACUCUAGUGAGACUGCCUUCGCAAGGAGGAGGAAGGUGAGGACGACGUCAAGUCAUCAUGGCCCUUACGGCUAGGGCAACACACGUGCUACAAUGGCCAGGACAAUGAGAAGCGAUACCGCGAGGUGGAGCAAAUCUAUAAACCUGGUCUCAGUUCGGAUUGUAGUCUGCAA